rnacentral:misc_RNA from 1 species
UAUGUACAUCUGGAUUUCCCCUUAAUUUACAAGAGGUGGCGCCACCGCAAAUAAAUAGCUGCGAUAACGGAUUGAUAUUGAUUUAGGAACUUAAGUGUUAAUUUCUUUCUAUUUAUAAUGCAAUUCAUUGCUCUUGUAUCGUGAACUUUGAACAUUCGCGCUUGACAAAAAGAAUAAAUCUAAUCUUCGUGACUGGCAAUAUUGUCUGGCGGAUGUAUUCUACCUAUUAUAUUCUAAUCAUGGAUUUUUCUAAGAAAAUCGAUUCUUCAAUUUACGCGGACAACAAAUUAUUUUUCUAUGUUGACUUGUGGAAAGCACAAUCAUAAGCAUUAACCUUACUCGCAUAACACUGACUACGAUCAAAAAUGAAGUUUUGCUUCGUUCGAAAAGAAGAGAUUGUUUUAGAGUAAAAUACGAACAAUAACAACGAAUAUGAAAAAUUUAUUCUGAUCUUUCUAAAUUUUCAUUACUUUCUCGUGCAACUUACACUGACGUUUUUCUUAAAUAUCCUUUUUUUUUUAACCGGAAGACUCCAUUUAUGCGAUCUACAUGUA